AGUGAACGCUGGCGGUAGGCCUAACACAUGCAAGUCGAACGGCAGCACAGUAAGAGCUUGCUCUUACGGGUGGCGAGUGGCGGACGGGUGAGGAAUACAUCGGAAUCUACUUUUUCGUGGGGGAUAACGUAGGGAAACUUACGCUAAUACCGCAUACGACCUACGGGUGAAAGCAGGGGAUCUUCGGACCUUGCGCGAUUGAAUGAGCCGAUGUCGGAUUAGCUAGUUGGCGGGGUAAAGGCCCACCAAGGCGACGAUCCGUAGCUGGUCUGAGAGGAUGAUCAGCCAACAUGGAACUGAGACACCGUCCAGACUCCUACGGGAGGCAACAGUGGGGAAUAUUGGACAAUGGGCGCAAGCCUGAUCCAGCCAUACCGCGUGGGUGAAGAAGGCCUUCGGGUUGUAAAGCCCUUUUGUUGGGAAAGAAAAGCAGCAGGUUAAUACCCCGCUGUUCUGACGGUACCCAAAGAAUAAGCACCGGCUAACUUCGUG
rnacentral:rRNA from 1 species